AGAAUCAACGCUGGCGGCGUGCCUAACACAUGCAAGUCGAACGAGAAAGUGGAGCAAUCCAUGAGUAAAGUGGCGCACGGGUGAGUAACACGUGACUAACCUACCCUUGAGUGGGGAAUAACCUAGGGAAACCUGGGCUAAUACCGCAUAACACCUACGGGUCAAAGGAGCAAUUCGCUUAAGGAGGGGGUCGCGGCAGAUUAGCUAGUUGGCGGGGUAAUGGCCCACCAAGGCAGUGAUCUGUAUCCGGCCUGAGAGGGCGCACGGACACACUGGAACUGAAACACGGUCCAGACUCCUACGGGAGGCAGCAGUGGGAAUUUUGCGCAAUGGGGGAAACCCUGACGCAGCAACGCCGCGUGGAGGAUGAAGUCCCUUGGGACGUAAACUCCUUUCGACCGGGAAGAUUAUGACGGUACCGGAAGAAGAAGCCCCGGCUAACUUCGUGCCAGCAGCCGC
rnacentral:rRNA from 1 species